rnacentral:rRNA from 1 species
CCUACGGGCGGCUGCAGUGGGGAAUAUUGGACAAUGGGGGCAACCCUGAUCCAGCCAUGCCGCGUGUGUGAAGAAGGCCCUCGGGUUGUAAAGCACUUUCAGUGAGGAAGAACGCCUGGUGGUUAAUACCCAUCAGGAAAGACAUCACUCACAGAAGAAGCACCGGCUAACUCCGUGCCAGCAGCCGCGGUAAUACGGAGGGUGCGAGCGUUAAUCGGAAUUACUGGGCGUAAAGCGCGCGUAGGUGGCUUGAUAAGCCGGUUGUGAAAGCCCCGGGCUCAACCUGGGAACGGCAUCCGGAACUGGCAAGCUAGAGUGCAGGAGAGGAAGGUAGAAUUCCCGGUGUAGCGGUGAAAUGCGUAGAGAUCGGGAGGAAUACCAGUGGCGAAGGCGGCCUUCUGGACUGACACUGACACUGAGGUGCGAAAGCGUGGGUAGCAAACAGGAUUAGAUACCCGUGUAGUC